GUGCCCCUCAUCAGCCUGAGGAAGAGAGGACAGAUGAGGCAGGGUCUUCCUCUGGUGUUCACACACGUAGUGGAGAUUGUGGAGAAGCACGCGUUCCUUCUGGCCCCACCAUGUUUGAAGAACAGGGACAGUGUACUGCUUUGAUAGAGCACCUGCUGGACAACCUGAUCCACCUGCUGCCAAACAUGUACCCUCAUGCAUCCACCAGUAACUCAGCAGACGAUAGCAAAUGGACUAAUGAAGAGUGUGUCCCACAAUUGCCGCUCUCAGAGACCAAAUUAAAGAUGCCUAAAAUUGGAAGACUUGGGCGACUAAGAAAAAGAAUGAGAG